CGCUCUGCUUCGGGCUUCCAACCUCGUCACCACGGGUUCGCAGGAAUCCUGGAAACGCCCACCGGCUGUGGGCGGGGCUGUGCGAGGGUGGUCUCGAGGGUGGCCUUACCUUCUCCUCGCCGGGCAGGCGGAGGCACAGGCCACAGCCUUUCCUUCGCGAUCAUCGGCGAAUAUCUUCGCUUUGUCUUUCCACCCUCAUCUCUGCGCCAUCCCCGUCUUCCUCUCUCAAUGCUGACCUCCAAAGAAAAUGACCCCGUUUUUUAGAUUUCAUGAUAAUUGUGUCAAACAUCGGAGUACUUCUAGACCAGUCUUCAUGUGUUUCAUGGGAAGCUGGUCGACCAUCAUGGACGAAGGAGGUCUUGCGCUCCUCCUAGUCUUUAGGUGUACAAAGGUUACCCAUUUCAGCUCCAAUCAAUCGCCCUGCGGAUUCCAAUAUCGUCGUCACGGGAAUGGCGAACAUCGAAUCUUUGAGGAGCAUCUCUCUAGCUUUCCUCAUCAUCUUCAAAAGCACAACGAAACGGCUUGUUCAAUCACAUGGAUAGUUCGUCUGUCUGACCAAUUUUCAAGGCAUGGAUGGAAUCAACUUCCUGCAGUUAGUGGGCAGCUCUGAGAUAAGAUCGGGGGAUGAAUACGUAGGCAAGUGGUGCAAAAUUGAAUCGGUUGAAAUUCUUGUGUUAGGAAAUCAAUAUCACUUCGUAAGAACGAUGCUGCCGCUCUGUAUCAGACAUACUUGUCAAUCCUGGAUUGUAUUAUACUUGGUGGUAUCCAGUCGGACAAGGAAGGGGAUUGGGGAAGAUCUCGUUGUGGGAGUUGUUGCGUGACCGCAUUUACUUCGCUAGCGCUAGAUUUCCGUCCCCCACUUGGAUUCGACUUCUACAACUCCACCCACUCCAACUCGUUUGUUUUGUUUCGGUCUUGGCAGUUUUUGUCCAGAUGUGAUUCAACAUUCGGUGGGCAUCGUCCAUGUGAGGUCGCUCUUACGGUCUGCUUCUGGUGCAAAGAAGCGCUAUUCCCAGCACCAUGACGGUGUUAUGGUUGAUGCGACGGAAGACUGGUCAUAAGUUGGGGAUCAAGCACGUUUUUAUGACUUGAUCGAGAUUAGAGAGAUUUGCAGGGUCAAUGCAUCAUACUCUACCACAUUGAAUCCUCCAUGUUGAGAAAAUUGGAAUCAGGUCUAGUGGGGACUCAAAUAAUCAGGUUCUUGUGCAAGCUCCGAUGCAAACUAUCAUUGGACCAACAAAUGAGUUUCCUUCUUCCCGGUCACAAACCUCGUGUUGCAAAAUUACCAAUUCUCUUGGUGGAUCCACCAAUCAUGUAUUCACAACACUACAUCACACAUUGUAAUAAAAAUUUGUCUUCAAACAAAGACAUAUAUAUAUAUAUAUAUAUAUAUCCAUACAAAAAGCUACUAUUUCAAAACAAUAGUACAACAAAAAAAAUUAUUGUUGUAAAGAUGUAGGCUAAGCUUUUAUUUUUCUAUGUAGAAAAAAAUUCACUUGUAGAAAUUCACUGAUCCAUAGGAAUCCACUUAUCUGUAGAAAUUUAUACAAAAAGACUUG